AUGGAUUUGGAGGAGGGCCCUACCGUCGCGGCCGCCGCCGUUGGUUUGGGCUCGUCACCACCAACGCAUGAUCUUGAGUCAACUCCGAUUGGAUCUCCGGAGGACAUGGUUCCAUCGUACUUUCCUCCCCCGUCCGAUGACGAUCAUGAAAAUGAUCUCGGUCAAGAUUCCAAGCACGAGGACGACCGAGAUCAUGACCACGGUCAUGAUAAGGAUCACGAUUAUCAGUCCACUGGACCCGGCGUCGUCCUCACUGAUGAUCUCAAAAGCAAGAUCAUUAAGCAGGCAAGGGAACCCGCUAUCUUUUCUAAAUGUGCUGUUAUUUGUUAGGUGUUUGUCGUCAUUUGCUGUGUUUUCUUACUUUUUACUCUUAAAAUUGAACCCUAGCACUCUAUGCGCCUUUUAGUGGAGAAUGAAGUUCUGAUGCUAGGACGAUUUAGUAGUUUGUUAUUGGAGUUUGAGCAAUAUUAUUCUCCGUUUCGAUUUUCUUCGAACUGAUAUUUCUUAUGUGGUUAUUGAUUUUUCGUUCGAUAUUAAACCCUACAAACUUUUAAGCUUGCAGUUGGAUUGCGGUAAAAUACAAGAAAGAACGAACAAAAGAAUUUUAUUUUUUUAAAAAGAUUUUUAUACAUUUGGUUAUUGGAACUUUUACUUUGUCCAGCUUAACUGAGUUGUGGAACACUAAAAACAGGGAGACAAGUAUUGUGUUUGGCUCCGCAAAUGGCAGUCUUUUCUAUUUUUUUUCUAAGAGAAGCUAGAAGUCAAGUAUGUUAAAAAAAAAAAGGUUCGAUUUUGGGAAACAGAAAAUAUGUGGUUUUGUGCUAAUUAAUGUCAUGGCUUCGAGAUUAGGUAGAACUUUCACUGUUAAAUUUAAUGGAUAACAAAUUCAAUCAUGACGUUUACAACUUGGAAGUUUACUUGUGGCUUGUAAGUGUGAUAUACGUACCAAAUCAUACUACAUCUUUGCUGUUAAACAAGUAAGGUUUGAAUUUUGUCAUUUUUUUGGCAACUCUUCAUGUUGCAGGUUGAAUAUUAUUUCAGUGAUGAAAAUUUGCUCACUGAUAAGUAUAUGAUGAGUUUGAUUAAGAAGAACAAGGAAGGUUUUGGUAAGUAUUUAAUAUCUAGUUGACGUAUAUAUUCACACUUUAGUUCAGCAUUAAUUUCACAUUGAUACUGAAAAAUGGCUGACAUAAUUCCGACCCAUAUGUGGCUCUGCACAUGUGUGGUAUUGUAUUCUUGUUUUCAAACCAUUAUUUUGUUGAGACAUGUACCACAUCAGUUAUCAGGCAACAUUUGCAAUCCACAUCUUUAAGUUCUUACUUCUGUGAUACUUGAACCCCUUGCAAUGAAUUACUGUCAAACAAUUAAACAUAUAUUUUAAAAUGAACUAUAUGCAUGUGUCCACUCUACUUAUCCUCAAUUCUUCUUUUCCUUCUGUUCUUUAUUUUUUGUUAUGCUGUUGAACAGAAUGACAAGCUUAUUUCUCUUCCUAAAUCCAAAGAAAAAAGUCAAAGCUUAUUUCUUUCCCUUUCCCUUUUGUAUUUAGUUUGGAUAAAAUUAUAGGGAUAUGUUCUGCAUUAAGAUAGCUUGGGAAAAUAAGACUCAUACCUUCUCAACCAAUAAAUGACUUUGUUUUCCUUACAACAUGAAGUGAAAUAGAUAAGAACUGUUUGAAAUAAUUGACAAAUCAAGCAUCUUGAGAUGCUUGCUUUGGUAAUGAAUCUCAGAGAUUCUCUAGAAUAGAGAUGAUGGUGAUGAAAUAAAGCAGGUACUUAUUACAGGCUGCCUACCGUGGAUGUUCAUGGUGUAGCUAAUUUUUCUUGCUGUGCCGAACUUCCGGAGCUCAGUCUGAAUGACUAUGCAACUACUGCUUUCUGAUUUCUCUCUAUUCAUAUAACUAUAUGUUUUUUGAAGACCAGCAUAGACUUCUUUUUUUUUUUUCUUUAAUCUCAAGUUAGUACACUGCAGCGAUGGCUGUGGGAUCUAAUCUAAAGGUGUACUAGUAAGAUGCCUUUCGAUGCCAUAAAAAGUGCAAUUCAACUCUUGAACUUCAAUCGGAGAAAUUAAGCUCUUACGCUUUGAUCUGGAUACAUUCAAGUUCAAUUUAGAACCAUAGAAAGCCUGGUGUAUGUUGAAUAUUA
rnacentral:lncRNA from 1 species